UUCUUUUGCUUCCAACACGUGGUGCCAGAGAUUUACAGGAACCUUUGCUUCCAUUCCCAGGCCUCUCACUGAGUCAGGCCAAGGAGACAGAUCAUCCCAGCAGUCCUGGUCUUAGGAGUGACAAGGAGCGGAGGGACAGCUUUGGAAAGACCCGCGCUGAAUUGUGCAGGUUGGCUAAAGAGAACUUAGAGCAGAAGAAAAUGGAGAUUUUGAUGGAAGAGAUGAAGAGGAGACAAAAUGAGAAAUCAUUGCAGCUUCCUCCAGAGACAUUUGAGCCUGGAGAUGCAGCUGAAGCAAGCUUCAGCCUACCACCUAUCAAUGGCACAGCUCCCAGUGUACAGAGAAAAGACCCUGGUAGCGCCAUGAAGAAAACAGUCGUGAGAAAGCAGGACACGUUGCCCUUACAGCCCAGUACGCCCACCCUCCAUGGAGAUGGCAGCUUC